rnacentral:rRNA from 1 species
GAUGAACGCUGGCGGCGUGCCUAAUACAUGCAAGUCGAGCGAACAGAUAAGGAGCUUUCUCCUUUGACGUUAGCGGCGGACGGGCGGGUAACACGUGGGUAAGCUACCUCUAAUACUGGGAUAAUUCCGGGAAACCGGGGCCACUGCCACAUAAUAUUUAGAACCGCAUGGUUCUAAAGAGAAAGAUGGUUUUGCUAUUUCUUUUAGAUGAUCCCGCGCCGUAUUAGCUAGUUGGUAAGGUAACGGCUUACCAAGGCAACGAUACGUAGCUGACCUGAGAGGGUGAUCGGCCACACUGGAACUGAGACACGGUCCAGACUCCUACGGGAGGCAGCAGUAGGGAAUCUUCCGCAAUGGGCGCAAGCCUGACGCAGCAACGCCGCGUGAGUGAAGAAGGUCUUCGGGUCGUAAAACUCUGUUAUUAGGAAAGAACAAAUGUGUAAGUAACUCUGGACGUCUUGACGGUACCUAAUCAGAAAGCCACGGCUAACUACGUG